CCAAGCACAAGUCCUUUGAACCUCUAAGCUGUAAGGCUUUGUAAUCCUGAUGAAGGGAAAUGGAAAUGGGGAGGGGGUGAGGAAAAUCUUCAAAUUCUUUUUUUUUUUUUUUUCCUUUGCAACACUUUAAAGAGAGACAGGACAAAAGAAGAAUGCAUGUUCUAUAUGCACAUUUCUUUGCAGCCCUCUGACGAAGUACCUCAAAAGCUAAGCUCCCAUCAAUCCUGGAGAGAUAGGAUCGGCAGAGCAUAGUGGCAGAAUGAAUGGUUUAAAAGGAACAGCAGCGACCAAAGAACUUUUUAUGCAGAGAAACCCCAAAUCUGGGGCAAAUCCCUCCUGUUCAUUUUAUCUCACACAAGAUCUGAGAUCUGAGAUCUGAUACCACAAAUGCCUUAAUGUGGCUGGCAUUCAUGAGAAGGUAUGCAACUAUUGAGGAAAUACGAAGAACUCAGAAUGUCAAGAGAGAAGAGGCACAACUGUUGGUAUGCCCAUUAUGUCCAGUGGAAACUUUCACUCUCAGAUGUGGAGGCCAUCUUCAUGACCACACGGUUCUGAGUUGACCUCCUUGAUGGUGCCUGAGUUGAUCCUUGGAAAUCAGCUACAUCCUAAUAGCUGACCACAAGGCAGCAGUCUGCCUAGGAAGCACUAGACCAGCGUUAUAAGUAUUGUGCCACACAGUGUCCAGCCAUGAACAGAAUAGCAAUGCUCCAUCUUUGCUAGAGGACCACUUGGAGAGAAGCAUAUUAUCCUUAGCCAUUAAGUACAGACACAAAGAGGCGGGCCCCAGUGGGCUCCAGGACAAGUUGGGAAAAGCCUUUGCUGCAGACAGAACCAGCUGCAUUUGAAAACCUGUCUUGCUAAAUUGAGAGCACUUUGGACCUUCCUUUUAACUUCAGAGUUACCUCUCUAGAUGCUGGUCAGUCCGACAAGGUUUAUUUAGUGACACGAGGCUGAGAAGAUGAAUAUCCUCACGCUCAGUUAUUUACAUAAAGCUAAGUAGCAAAGCCUGUGAUGUUAUAAUCAGGUACCUAUCUACAGGACAGUUUUGAAUGACACAGGGUAUGAAAAAUGUUUACUCUAGUUUACACUAUUUUUGAAUAUUGAUUAGUCUCUACAGUGAAAAUAUUAAUACUUUUUAAUGACCUAUAUGAUAAAACAUGUAUUUGAUUGGCUUCUUAUGGCAUUACUCUUACAAAAAGCUGGGAUGUCAUCAUGUGCAUUCUCUGCCUUUGAGCCUCUGAUGAUUCCAGUCAUUUCAGAAAGAUAGGGCUCUGCCCUCUUGCUUCUGAUUUGCUGGCAAUAGACCUUCAGCUAAUAGUAUAUCUGCUCAGCUGAAGAUGGAGUGCUAAUCUAGGGGGACUCGAAAUGGCUCUGUCAUUUUCUAGAUGACAGCUCCUAUUUUCCACUGGCUUCUGGCACAUGCGCUAUCAUCUAUCUAUGUCAAGAAGACACUUGCUUAUCUGGUUGCUAGAAAUGCUUUUGUUAAAAACACCUAACUGCAGUUCAUCAGUCUUGUGAGGAAGUUGUUGAUUUUGCUAAACUAAGUUUAAACUCCUCUGUGGUUUUCUGAUAUGACAUCUAUUUUUAUUAGAUAUUGUCAUGAUUAUUUAUAGCGUCUUAGAAGCAUACUAGAAUUUUUUUUUUUUUUUUAAUAGCAAGUUAAUCAGCUGAUUGGUGCAAAACAAAAGUUUCAGGACCAGGUAUGCCCAUAUCAAAUUUCAUUCUUCAUUUUUAGGCAACCCUUAAUUAAGAAAUUACUGGCUAUAAGAAGAGAUAGAAGUUGAAUUAGGACCAUAAAAAAUCAAAAUUCAAUGCAAAUAAUGUAUGCCUCACAACAAACGAUGGCAAGUAUUUAAAAAAAUAAAACCAGUCAUCUGGUUAUAACUUAUGAAAUACUAUGAAACACCAAAGAAUAUCAUCUGUGAAUAUUCUUGAUCAAUUUGUAGAAGUAAAAUUUCUAUUUACACUGGAAAAGAUUUCUUUUUCUGGUAUUCUUUUUGUUUUGACCAGUCUGCUCUCAUUCUUUCUGGUUUGAUUAAGACUUGAUCAGUCCAAACUUGUGCAAACCCUGACUGAUCCCAACUAGCCGUAAGUAUUCAGGAAGCGGCUGAAGAGUUCCCAUUCAGGACAACCAGCUAAUAUUGGCUCAAAUCCUUUUGUCAAAUAUUAACUCACAGCCUAUAAGGUCAUUAACAGUGCCCAAGGCAAGGAUGCGCCUCCUAAUCUUUGAAGAGUAGUACCCAAAUGUCAAAACCAAGUGCUGUUUCCAGCUGUCCUUUCUCAUCCUUGCCCGUCUGAAAUACACCUUCGUGUUCUUUUCUCUUUCCUUCUUUUCUUCAUCCAAAUACAAACUCACAACUCUUUCUAUAGCUGCUGGGUCUACCAUGUGGCCUUUUCAUGACAUGGAUUGGGGAGUACCAGAUAGGGCACAUUUUGUGGCAGCCAUCUACUUUCUUUCAGCCUUUUAAAAACAGUGGCCAUGACUAUUACCAGAGAGAUGGUUGGAAAGAGCUGUUUUGAGAUUUGCUGCACCUCAGAAGCCUGUGUCUGAUGGAGGAGAAAUGAAGCCAGGAGCUGAAGCUAGUACCAUAAAGCUUUCCUGAGAGAUUUGAAUUGUGGAUGGGAAGUUAUGGCUUCUGGGCGUGGAAACAGCCCCAGAGCUCUGUUCUUGGGUCCGUUUUCUGUACCUUUCACUUAAGCUGAUGAAAUGGACGUGAUGAAGGAUAAGUGCCUGAAUGUUUUUAACAUCUAAAAUAUGUGCAUAACAUUGGAUGUGUAAAUGAAAUUUAAAAAGUGAGCAUAGCAAUUAAAUUGAAGAAACAAUGAGGCAUCUCUCAUAAACAGAAGCUCUGUAUUUCUUGAAAGAAAAAACACAUCGAAAAAUAAAGACAGAGAAAACAGAAAACUGGAAUUUAUUUACUUUUUAGCACAAGAUCAAGUUGGAAGAGAUUUGUCUAAAAUGGGUAAUGACAUCAAUUUUAUGAUAAAGAAUUAUAUUUCUAAUAACAAAAAGUGCUUCUAAUUAGUUAUAUUGAUAUUCAAGUAGUUGUAAAUUGAGGGAAAAUAUUUGAUAUUAAGUUAUUUACUUUUUAAAAAUACUUGCAGUUAAGAUGCUCAUUUUUAAAAAACCAAAUUUCAUGUUGAUUAUUUUGCAACUUUAUGAGUACAUACACACCUAAAUAUUUUUAAAAACAUAGCAAGUGCUUCGUUUUCUCCUCGCAUCUCUGUCUGACUCUUUUAAAAAUAGAUGAAUCCAUUGCUAUAAAGCAGAACAAAACCAAAUAAAAUGCAUAUGAACUUCAGCCCCACAAAUUUGAGCAAAACUUUCAAACAAUGGAUACUUUGAAUAUUUUGUACUAAUCCUAUUUAACUAUUUUUUAUGUCACUUCUUCAACUAUAUGUAUCAGUAAGAAAU
rnacentral:lncRNA from 10 species